rnacentral:rRNA from 1 species
AUGGCCGAGGAGGCAACAAGGGCGGUCAGGGAAGAAGAGCUGUCGCCGGUGGCGGAGGGGGCGCCCGUGACGGCCCGGCGGCCCGUCCGAGCGGACCUGGAGAAGCGCAUCCCGAAGCCCUACCUGGCCCGAGCCCUGGUGGCGCCGGACGUGUACCAUCCCGGAGGGAGCAAGGAGGGCGGGCACCAGCACCGCCAGAGGAGCGUGCUGCAGCAGCACGUCGCCUUCUUCGACAUGGAUGGCGACGGCGUCAUCUAUCCAUGGGAAACUUACCAAGGACUGAGGGCAUUGGGCUUCAACAUGAUCGUCUCCAUCCUCAUCGCAAUAGGCAUACAUACUACCCUGAGCUACACAACUCUGCAUAGCUGGGUGCCAUCUCUCCUUUUCCCAAUCUACAUCGACAACAUCCACAGGGCCAAGCAUGGGAGCGACACCGCGACUUAUGACUCCGAGGGAAGGUACAUGCCGGUGAACUUCGAGAACAUAUUCAGCAAGAACGCCUCGCCGGAUAAGCUCACAUUCCGGGAAAUCUGGAUGAUGACCGACGGCCAACGGCAGGCGAACGACCCAUUUGGAUGGGUGGCGAGCAAGGGGGAGUGGAUGCUGCUGUACAUGCUCGCCAAGGACGAGGAGGGGAACCUUCCGAGGGAGGCUAUUCGCCGCUGCUUCGACGGUAGCCUCUUCGAGUUCAUCGCCGACGAGAGGAGGCAGGCACACGGGAAGCGGCAGUAG